rnacentral:lncRNA from 1 species
AAAAUGAUAGAAAGAGGCAUCAAUAGAUAUUGAACAUUUCACUUAUCCUUGUCUUUCUUUCUAUGCAGAGAAUGAGGAUCAUCAUCAAUCAACGUAUGGAGUCUAAUUUGAAAUACAGAUGCAGAACCAGAGGCAUUCAAGUCUGUAUCUUGCCCAGCAUUGUGAUCGUUAGCAGCAAAAUUGAGCGGUGUCUAAGCCCAGUGAGCGCUGUUUCGGUUUUCCUGCCUUAUUCUUUAUCUCGCUUAGAAAACCACUGAGAGCAGAGAGAAUGACUGCCCUUUAUCAAAUAAUGAUAGCUGAUGAAGAGGUAUAAGCUGUACGCUGCUGAAGGGUGAUUUAACCAGCAGUGCUAUCUGGUUGCAUCACGUUAGUACUGUACGUGCACCGUGGCUUUAGCAUCUCCCUUGAAUUCCAACAUUUUUCAAUGACCGUGAAGCGCCAUUCGUGUGCAUCACGACCUGAGUGACUUCAGCACCUCCCUCCUUCCUGAACUCUAAAACUCACACCUGCCUGGUCCUUACUUCUGUUUGUCCACUUAAUUCUUUCCCUGCUCAAAAGAUAAACGAGGCUCUCCAAAUGCUGGAGUUUAGAAAAUCUUCUGUCGCUGAUGGUUUCUUAAGAAGGAAUUCUGAAGGGGAGAAUGAUGCUUUCUUGUCCGGGAGGGUUUGCGCGGACAGGUGUAUGAGGAUCGACACAAAGACAGCCCACAAACCGGCAGCUUAACAUGUGUGUCCUUGCGUUGUAUUUGCAUUAUCUGCACACAGGGCGUAUCUUACAAUCAAUUGUUUUUUUCUGUGUUUAAAAUCUCACUUGCUUUCCACUGGUUUAUUUGUGAGGGCACGGUUUCUGUGGGGUUUUUUAAUGGCUUUCUGCUUUUAAAUAUUCCGCCUGUUUGGAUUGCUCAGAUGCAUGAGGUGACAGGAAGAGCCGUUAAUGUUUAAACCUUUGCCAUUUUCACCUCCUCUUCGUUCCUUUGUGAUGUAAGAAGUGGCACUCGAUUUUAAAAUGGGCACAAAUUAAGCAGCAUCUAAGGAUUUACUACCUUAAUUACAAUAAUCCCUAAAGGAUUAUUCAGAGAUAGGUCCUAACUAAAGUUUUAA